rnacentral:rRNA from 1 species
UUAGGAAUAUUCGUCAAUGGGGGAAACCCUGAACGAGCAAUGCCGCGUGAGUGAUGACGGUCUUUAUGAUUGUAAAACUCUGUUGUAUGGGAAGAACACUAAGUAUAGGAAAUGAUACUUAGCUGACGGUACCAUGCCAGAAAGCCCCGGCUAACUACGUGCCAGCAGCCGCGGUAAUACGUAGGGGGCGAGCGUUAUCCGGAUUUAUUGGGCGUAAAGCGUGUGUAGGCGGUUUAUUAAGUAUAAAAUUAAAGCCUGGAGCUUAACUCCAGUUCGUUUUAUAAACUGGUAGACUUGAGUAUGGUAGAGGCAAAUGGAAUUUCUAGUGUAGCGGUAAAAUGCGUAGAUAUUAGAAGGAACACCGGUGGCGAAGGCGAUUUGCUGGGCCAUUACUGACGCU